AUAUCAAUAAGCGGAGGAAAAGAAACUAACAAGGAUUCCCCUAGUAACUGGCGAGUGAAGACGGGAAAAGCUCAAAUUUAAAAUCUGGUGGCUCUUUGCGCCAUCCGAGUUGUAAUUUAGAGAAGCGUUCUUCCGCGCUGGACCGUGCAUCAAGUCUCCUGGAAUGGAGCGUCAUAGAGGGUGAGAAUCCCGUCUUUGGCACGGAUGCACCAGGGCUUUCUGCGAUGCGCUCUCGAAGAGUCGAGUUGUUUGGGAAUGCAGCUCAAAAUGGGUGGUGAACUCCAUCUAAAGCUAAAUAUUGGCGAGAGACCGAUAGCGAACAAGUACCGUGAGGGAAAGAUGAAAAGCACUUUGGAAAGAGAGUAAAACAGUAC
rnacentral:rRNA from 1 species